UUGUGUAGAAAUGCACACUCCGUCUUUCCAAUUUUUAAUUUUUCCAAGGGGAUGAACUCCUUGGAAAUUUGCACUUUACACUUCAUGUCAUGAAACAUUCUUCUAGAACAUAAUUUUUUAUGGAUGCAUGGUCUUCCAACAUUGUAAUGUACCUUGGGUUACUUAACCAACUCUCCCAACUGUUGAUUGCGUCCACAUUUUCGAUACCAUGAACAAUGCUGAGAUGUACAUUCUUGCAGGGAAUGUGUAAUUGAUUUCCUUGGUAUAAUUUGGUAGCGGAAUUCAGAAUGUUUUUUAUCCUAUGUGUCCAUAUCCUGUGAACCUCACAACACCCCCCUGGGAUAAGUAGGAUAUGAUUAUCUCCUACAGCUUUUCCACUUUCUAAGUCUCAGCCCAUGUGGGCCCAUCAAGGAACCACAUGUUACAGAUGAGAAUCUUCUCUCCUGCCCCUCUCAGAAUGCUGCACGUUUUCCUCUUUAAAAUGAGCUACAGGAAGGGUUCUUGACCACAGGCUUGAGCUCCUUCAGCUUCCUUGGGGCUAGAACCGCACAUCUGCAGGGGCCGUCCGGGCGCAUCAGGACGGAGGGUCUCGGUUCGGGGCCCAAAGCUUGGCUGAGCUGCCCUGGGCCGUGGAGCUCGGGCGGCGCGCAGGGUUGACACGGAGGAAAACGGCCCGCCCCUGGCUGCUGGGGAUUUCCCGAGCGCAGGUGACACACAGCUCGGCGCAGCGGGCGCAACCCCGCCGGGGCAUCCUGAACUCCACGGCGGGGCCCGGAGCGCAAAGCUCGCACGAGGACGCAGGGCCGGCGCCGCGGCUGCACCUGCGCGCACCCCGCGUCCGCGCGCCCCGUGUCCGCGCGCGCCGCUGUCAAUAAAGUUGUGUUGCGCCGGAAGCGGAAGCGGAAGCGGUGAGUCUCCAUGGCGGCGGCGGCGGCAGCGGCGGCGGGGCCGGUGUUCUGGAGGAGGCUGCUGGGCCUCCUGCCUGGCCGCCCCGGGCUGGCCGCGCUCUUGGGGCGCCUGUCUGACCGCCUGGGCAGGAACCGGGACCGCCGGCGCAGGAGGUCACCAUGGCUGCUGUUGGCUCCUUUGCUGUCCCCAGCCGUCCCCCAGGUCACCUCCCCACCUUGCAGUCUGUGUCCCGAGGGCGUGCACAGGUUCCAGUGGAUCAGAAACCUGGUUCCCGAGUUUGGAGUCUCCAGUUCUCACGUCAGGGUGCUUUCUUCCCCAGCAGAGUUUUUUGAGCUCAUGAAGGGGCAGAUAAAAAUAGCCAGGCGGCGGGUCGUGAUGGCAUCCCUCUAUCUGGGGACAGGCCCUUUGGAACAGGAACUGGUGGAUUGCCUGGAAAGCACUCUGGAAAAGUCACUCCAAGCAAAGUCCCCUUCAGGCCUGAAGGUGUCCAUUCUCUUGGACUUCACACGGGGUUCUCGGGGUAGGAAGAACUCUCGCACCAUGCUGCUCCCGCUCCUGCAGAGGUUUCCAGAACAGGUCCGGGUCUCCCUUUUCCACACGCCUGACCUCCGUGGACUUCUCCGGCUCCUGAUCCCUGAGCGCUUCAAUGAGACUAUUGGCCUCCAGCACAUUAAAGUGUACCUCUUUGACAACAGUGUCAUCUUGAGUGGGGCAAACCUGAGUGACUCCUACUUCACCAACCGCCAGGACCGCUAUGUGUUCCUGCAGGACUGUCCUGAGAUUGCGGACUUUUUCACAGAGCUGGUGGACGCGGUGGGGGACGUGUCUCUGCAGCUGCAGGGGGAUGACACAGUGCAAGUGGUGGAGGGGAUGGUGCACCCUUACAGAGGUGACCGGGCGGCAUACUGCAGGGCAGCCAAUAAGAGGGUGAUGGAUGUGAUCAACUCUGCCAGGACCCGCCAGCAGAUGCUGCACACCCAGACCUUCCACAGCGACUCCCUUUUGGCCGAGGAAGACACAGCAGUUGCCGGUGACCAGAGGCCAGCCCCCGACACCUGGAUUUACCCACUGAUCCAGAUGAAGCCUUUUGAGAUUCAAAUCGAUGAGAUCGUCACCGAGACCCUGCUGACGGAGGCUGAGCGAGGCACCACGGUCUACCUCACCACUGGCUACUUUAACCUGACGCAGGCCUACAUGGACUUGGUCUUGGGCACACGGGCUGAAUACCAGAUCCUGCUGGCCUCCCCAGAGGUGAAUGGCUUCUUCGGGGCUAAGGGGGUGGCGGGUGCCAUCCCAGCUGCCUACGUGCACAUUGAGCGGCAAUUCUACAGUGAGGUGUGCAGCCUGGGGCAGCAGGAGCGGAUCCAGCUGCAGGAGUACUGGCGGAGGGGCUGGACCUUUCAUGCCAAAGGCCUCUGGCUGUACCUGGCAGGGAGCAGCGUGCCCUGUCUCACGUUGAUUGGCUCUCCUAAUUUUGGGUACAGGUCAGUUCACCGGGACCUGGAGGCCCAGAUCGCCAUUGUGACAGAGAGCCGGGCCCUGCAGCAGGAGCUUCACCAGGAGCAAGAGCAGCUCUACCUGAGGUCAGGUGUGGUGUCCUCUGCCACAUUUGAGCAGCCGAGUCGGCAGGUGAAGCUGUGGGUGAAGAUGGUGACUCCACUGAUUAAGAACUUCUUCUGAGGACAGACAGGUGCGGUCAAGCCCCUGCGACCCACAGCAUGCGUGAUGCCCGCACCCCACUGGAGGCCCAUCUCAUGAAGCCUGGGGAUCUCCUGAGGCCCCCACAUCAUGCUGCAGAUGACCAGUUGGUGACUGUCAGCCCCCUGGGGAGGAGAAAAUGUGCCAGAAGCCACACCCCAGAACGGACUCCAUCUGCUGCUUGGAGCCAGGCCCCGGGAGCUCAGUGCCAAGCAGUGAGAGGGAGCUGUGAAGCCUUGCUGUCCAGGAGGGCAGCCGCAAGCCACACGGGCUGGUGAGCGCCUGAGACGUGCUUGGUCUGAACGGAGAUGUGCUCCAUGUGUGGCAAUUGGGAAAUCUAAAGUGACAGGUGUGGCUCACGUCAGCCUCCCACCGGACCACGCUGGAGUCCACACACAGCAUGUGAACGGUUACACGGACCGGCCCUGAGACCACCUGGGAAGCCUGCACCCAUCACCGUGGGUUACACCGGGGAUCUGCCAAGAUGGGCCUCUGGGGACAGUGUGACAGGCAGGUCUGGGCCACCGGGGGUUCUGCACCGCUAAGUGUCAGUUUCCUGAGGGCCACGGCACACGCCAGGGUCCACCGGGGAGCAUGACUAUUAGUCAGACGUAGGCAGGAGAAAGGGGCCAGCCCAUCACCAGGAAGACUCCCGGGCCGAGCCCUACGCUCUCCUUAAGCUCCCAGCUCCACAGUCAAGGAUGUCUACCUUAUCAGGAGGUGCAGACAGUCAGGGACACCUAGAUCUCAAGAGGCCCAGGACCGCGGGGCCUCCCUGAAUACAGGGCAUGUGCGCGAUCUGAAGACCUUGUCUGAAAGUAACCCCACCUCAUUAAAAUAACGUCUACAUCUAAUCAGCAUUGUCCUUUUGGCCCUGCUGUGGGCCUUGCUUAAGUACUUACGGAUAAAAUGCCUGGGCAAAGAGAAAAAGUAUUGCGUAGAGCUGCCAAUCAACCUGUCAAUCACAUGACGUAAGAUGCAGGGCUGGACUUUGGCCAUCUUUAGAUAAAAUAAGAGCCGACCUAACCCUCCCAGCAACGCUGCUCUGGUUCCCAGACAGCCGCUCUGCCCGUGUGCUGACGUCUACUU